rnacentral:lncRNA from 1 species
GUUACCUGCUCCAUCCCUCAUCCAGUGCUGUCUCAGAUUCUCAAUUUCUUCUUCUAGCUCCCCCCUCUUCUGCAGUGCGUCCUGGAGUGCCCGACGAAGUCGCUGGCUCUCGGCCUCCGCCUCUCGACGCCUCUUCCUCAAGACCUCGGAUUCCGUCUCCGCAUCCGCGAUGGCCCGCUGCUCGUACGCCAGCUGGAUCUUCAGUUGUUGC